UCAGAAGGCACACCCGGAGAACUGAAACAUCUUAGUAACCGGAGGAAGAGAAAGAAAAUUCGAUUCCCUUAGUAGCGGCGAGCGAAACGGGAAGAGCCCAAACCAACAAGCUUGCUUGUUGGGGUUGUAGGACACUCUAUACGGAGUUACAAAGGACGACAUUAGACGAAUCAUCUGGAAAGAUGAAUCAAAGAAGGUAAUAAUCCUGUAGUCGAAAAUGUUGUCUCUCUUGAGUGGAUCCUGAGUACGACGGAGCACGUGAAAUUCCGUCGGAAUCUGGGAGGACCAUCUCCUAAGGCUAAAUACUCUCUAGUGACCGAUAGUGAACCAGUACCGUGAGGGAAAGGUGAAAAGCACCCCGGAAGGGGAGUGAAAUAGAACCUGAAACCGUGUGCUUACAAGUAGUCAGAGCCCGUUAAUGGGUGAUGGCGUGCCUUUUGUAGAAUGAACCGGCGAGUUACGAUUUGAUGCAAGGUUAAGCAGUAAAUGUGGAGCCGUAGCGAAAGCGAGUCUGAAUAGGGCGUUUAGUAUUUGGUCGUAGACCCGAAACCAGGUGAUCUACCCUUGGUCAGGUUGAAGUUCAGGUAACACUGAAUGGAGGACCGAACCGACUUACGUUGAAAAGUGAGCGGAUGAACUGAGGGUAGCGGAGAAAUUCCAAUCGAACCUGGAGAUAGCUGGUUCUCUCCGAAAUAGCUUUAGGGCUAGCCUCAAGUGAUGAUUAUUGGAGGUAGAGCACUGUUUGGACGAGGGGCCCCUCUCGGGUUACCGAAUUCAGACAAACUCCGAAUGCCAAUUAAUUUAACUUGGGAGUCAGAACAUGGGUGAUAAGGUCCGUGUUCGAAAGGGAAACAGCCCAGACCACCAGCUAAGGUCCCAAAAUAUAUGUUAAGUGGAAAAGGAUGUGGCGUUGCCCAGACAACUAGGAUGUUGGCUUAGAAGCAGCCAUCAUUUAAAGAGUGCGUAAUAGCUCACUAGUCGAGUGACACUGCGCCGAAAAUGUACCGGGGCUAAACAUAUUACCGAAGCUGUGGAUUGUCCUUUGGACAAUGGUAGGAGAGCGUUCUAAGGGCGUUGAAGCAUGAUCGUAAGGACAUGUGGAGCGCUUAGAAGUGAGAAUGCCGGUGUGAGUAGCGAAAGACGGGUGAGAAUCCCGUCCACCGAUUGACUAAGGUUUCCAGAGGAAGGCUCGUCCGCUCUGGGUUAGUCGGGUCCUAAGCUGAGGCCGACAGGCGUAGGCGAUGGAUAACAGGUUGAUAUUCCUGUACCACCUAUAAUCGUUUUAAUCGAUGGGGGGACGCAGUAGGAUAGGCGAAGCGUGCGAUUGGAUUGCACGUCUAAGCAGUAAGGCUGAGUAUUAGGCAAAUCCGG
rnacentral:rRNA from 1 species